GGGAGCCUCUGGAGCUGGAGUGAGCCACCAUGUAGAUGCUAGGAACUGAGCCUGGGUUCCCUGUAUGAGGCAAGAACUCUUAACCUGAACCAUCUCUGUAGACUGAGUUAAAGGUUUUUAAAGUCCCGCUGUGCAACCCAAGCCAACCUCACCGUUUUCACCAAGUUGUCUUUGCGGGUCAGCUGCUCAGAGCCCAAGGUGUAGCCUGUGGUAGCCGGGCCUCAGCUGAGGGUGAUGCUGCUGGGCUGUGACCUGGAAUAAAAGACUGCAAGAUCAUUUUAUCCGAGACUGAGACCACUCACUUCCUACCGGACUUGAGCUCUGUAAAUAAGAGAUUGCCCGUAGAUGGCCAUCUGGAUAAGUCACAGCUUCAGCUUAAUAAGGACAUUCAUCAGUGCCAAAGGUCUUGUCAGUAUUUUAUUGAAAGGUCUUUCCCUUAAAUAAUGGAUUUUUUUUUUUUUUACAUUCAAACUGUAUACAACCAAAAUCUCAAAAUAAUAUUAAAAUCACACUAAGGAAUUUUUAUUAAGUAUCUACUUUAAUUUUAUUGUUGGUAAAAAUAUUGCAAGACACUUAUAGCUAAUGUUGCUGCUUUAAAAUAAGCAAACUAAAAUCACGAGAAGAGACGGUGGAUACAUACUAUACAUUUGUAGAUGAUCAGCUAAAGUGAGAAUUUCAUGGUAAUCAAUCAUGUUUUAUAAGAAACAAUUGCACUUGAAACAUCUUUAAAGUAAACAAAAACUCUACUUCCAUAUGUAAGUCUAUGAACAGAGGUUAAUCACCUAUAUAACCUUGUCAGAAGUAUGUUUAAAUUUAAAAAGCUUGUAUAUUUAAUAUAGCAGUCAUUCAUUAAAAAAAAAAGUCUUGAACUUUUGUUUUCACAGAACUUUCCAUAGUUUGUUGCUCAGACAAGCGCAACACAACUGAAGCAGAAUAACACUUCCUUGGUACUCAGUGCAGGUUUGGGUGACUUGGAAAUGUAAUGUUGAGCAUGUGCUUUUUCAGCAAGAAUGACGACCGCCUGUUCCUCGGUAGAUUCUUCUUUAAAGAUAUCCGUGGGGCAUUUUUAACUAUGCUAUAUCUUGUACUGUGUGUGGGCUCAUGGUAUCGAGUCAGUAUGAACGCAUCUACUAGUCUUUCUUUAAUUUGUUUUAAGACGGGGUCUCCACUGUGUAGCCUUGGCUGGCCUGGAACUCAUCAUGUAGACCAGGCUGGCCUUGAACACACAGAGAUCCACCUGUGUCUGCCUCCCAAAUGCUGGGUAAAAGGCAUGCGUCACCAUGCCCAGUCCUAUUCUUCCUUAGGCAUCUUAUUUCUGGUCCUGUUCGCUGCCAUGACUGUGGUACUGGCCAAAGCCAAGAGGAUGGAGGAAGAAGCCAGUUUGGAAGAAUCACUGUGGCACUUCUGUGAUUGUUGUUACGAAGCCAAGCGCUUUCGCCCCAGGAAGGCCUUUCCAGCUCCUUGGCAUCAGCU